rnacentral:rRNA from 1 species
GACGAACGCUGGCGGCGUGCUUAACACAUGCAAGUCGAACGGAAAGGCCCUGCUUUUGUGGGGUGCUCGAGUGGCGAACGGGUGAGUAACACGUGAGUAACCUGCCCUUGACUUUGGGAUAACUUCAGGAAACUGGGGCUAAUACCGGAUAGGAGCUCCUGCUGCAUGGUGGGGGUUGGAAAGUUUCGGCGGUUGGGGAUGGACUCGCGGCUUAUCAGCUUGUUGGUGGGGUAGUGGCUUACCAAGGCUUUGACGGGUAGCCGGGCUGAGAGGGUGACCGGCCACACGGGGAGUGAGACACGGCCCAGACGCGUACGGGGGGCAGCGGUGGGGAAUUUUGGACAAUGGGCGAAAGCCUGAUCGAGCAAUGCCGCGUGUGUGAAGAAGGCCUUCGGGUGGUAAAGCACGUUUGUCCGGAAAGAAAUCCUUGGCCCUAAUACGGGCGGGGGAUGACGGUACCGGAAGAAUAAGCACCGGCUAACUACGUG